rnacentral:rRNA from 1 species
GACGAACGCUGGCGGCGUGCCUAAUACAUGCAAGUAGAACGCAGUUGCGAACGGGUGAGUAACGCGUAGUUAACUGCCUCAUAGAGGGGGAUAAAGAUUGGAAACGAUAGCCAAUACCGCAUACUGUGGGCUGGACCUGCGUUGCAUUAGUUAGUUGGUGAGGUGAAGGCUCACCAAGGCGACGAUACAUAGCCGGCCUGAGAGGGUGUGCGGCCAAGCUGGCACGGGGGCGCGGCCCAGACUCCUACGGGAGGCAACAGGUGGGAAUCUUCGGCCAUGGACGGAAGUCUGACCGAGGCACGCCGCGGGAGUGUAGGAGGUUUUCGGAGCGUAAAGCUCUGUUAUUAGAGAAGCGGUAACUAACGAGAAAGGCACGGCUAACUACGUGCCAGCAGCCGCGGUAAUAC